GUGGGGAAUCUUAGACAAUGGGGGAAACCCUGAUCUAGCCAUGCCGCGUGAGCGAUGAAGGCCUUAGGGUUGUAAAGCUCUUUCAGAGGGGAAGAUAAUGACGGUACCCUCAGAAGAAGCCCCGGCUAACUCCGUGCCAGCAGCCGCGGUAAUACGGAGGGGGCUAGCGUUGUUCGGAAUUACUGGGCGUAAAGCGCACGUAGGCGGACCAGAAAGUCAGGGGUGAAAUCCCGGGGCUCAACCCCGGAACUGCCUUUGAAACUCCUGGUCUUGAGGUCGAGAGAGGUGAGUGGAAUUCCGAGUGUAGAGGUGAAAUUCGUAGAUAUUCGGAGGAACACCAGUGGCGAAGGCGGCUCACUGGCUCGAUACUGACGCUGAGGUGCGAAAGCGUGGGGAGCAAACAGGAUUAGAAACCCUAGUAGUCC
rnacentral:rRNA from 1 species